rnacentral:rRNA from 1 species
GAUGAACGCUGGCGGCGUGCCUAAUACAUGCAAGUCGAGCGAACAGACGAGGAGCUUGCUCCUCUGACGUUAGCGGCGGACGGGUGAGUAACACGUGGAUAACCUACCUAUAAGACUGGGAUAACUUCGGGAAACCGGAGCUAAUACCGGAUAAUAUAUUGAACCGCAUGGUUCAAUAGUGAAAGACGGUUUUGCUGUCACUUAUAGAUGGAUCCGCGCCGCAUUAGCUAGUUGGUAAGGUAACGGCUUACAAAGGAAACGAUGCGUAGCCGACCUGAGAGGGGGAUCGGCCACACUGGAACUGAGACACGGACCAGACUCCUACGGGAGGCAGCAGUAGGGAAUCUUCCGCAAUGGGCGAAAGCCUGACGGAGCAACGCCGCGUGAGUGAUGAAGGUCUUCGGAUCGUAAAACUCUGUUAUUAGGGAAAAACAAAUGUGUAAGUAACUAUGCACGUCUUGACGGUACCUAAUCAGAAAGCCACGGCUAACUACGUG